rnacentral:rRNA from 1 species
ACGUGAUCUGAGUUCAGACCGGAGCAAUCCAGGUCGGUUUCUAUCUAUAACAGAGCUUAUCCCAGUACGAAAGGACCGAAAAAGCAUGGCCAAUACCCCAAGCAAGCCAUUAUUAGAAAUUUAUGUCAUCAACUUAACUGAUUACUAACCUACAACCUCCCUCAAGAUAAGAGA